rnacentral:rRNA from 1 species
UACGAAGGGUGCAAGCGUUACUCGGAAUUACUGGGCGUAAAGCGUGCGUAGGUGGUUGUUUAAGUCUGUUGUGAAAGCCCUGGGCUCAACCUGGGAAUUGCAGUGGAUACUGGGCGACUAGAGUGUGGUAGAGGGUAGUGGAAUUCCCGGUGUAGCAGUGAAAUGCGUAGAGAUCGGGAGGAACAUCCAUGGCGAAGGCAAUCCCCUGGGCCUGCACUGACACUGAGAGACGAAAGCUAGGGGAGCAAAUGGG